UACGUAGGGCGCAAGCGUUGUCCGGAAUUAUUGGGCGUAAAGAGCUCGUAGGCGGCUUGUCGCGUCGAUUGUGAAAGCCCGGGGCUUAACUCCGGGUCUGCAGUCGAUACGGGGCAGGCUAGAGUGUGGGUAGGGGAGAGUCGGAAUUCCGUGGUGUAGCGGUGAAAUGCGCGAUAUCGGAGGAACACCGGUGGCGAAGGCGGCAAGUCCGUGGGACCAACACGUGACGCUGACUGAGCGAAAGCCAGGG
rnacentral:rRNA from 1 species